CUGAAUGGUUUUCACCAGAAAAGUUCUGAAGCAGCUGGAGGAGGAAGUAGUUGAAUUGGUAAAAGUGUUGUGGAACCUUCAGCUUUGCUCUCCUGCAGAAAGGCAGCAAACAAGCCACCACUGAAUAUGAUAUACCUGGGGAAAGUCAGCAUAGUUAGUUUUCAUGACGAAACAGUUUUGAAGUAAAACUGUAUUUUGAAGAAGAUUGAAUGGUCAGCUAACAACACCAAGGUAGCUGCUAAGAUUCCUUCCAAGAAAAAUACAGUUAUUCUGCUAUGAAUAGGCUGUUUUACUGAAGAGCAGAAAAUAAAACUCACUCUUACAUGGACUGAGCACUGCUGGCAUCAUCUGGUUUUACAGUGGAGGAAGAAAUUCCCCUUUCAGUAUUUCAGUUCUCCUUAUGAUCAGCUGUAGGCACUACAUUAAAUACUAGACAAUUUGAGUCAGGGAAUGUGAUUCUUCUGGAAGUUCUUAAAAGUUUUCAUUCUGUAUUAUGAUUCCUAAUUUUAGUGAAAAGUUCUUUGGAGGAUUAUAACAUCAGACUGGAAGCCGAAUAACAUGAGAAAAAAGAAGAGCAUCAGAAGUAACUAGUUUUCUGUCUAAAAUUUUUUUUUUGUCUCUUUCAGUUUCCUUUACAUAUGUGGGACAAGAGCCCUUCUUUUGUAUUACAAUUGUACAGCCAUAAGACAAGUUGUAGUACAGAAUCUUCCAUAAGAAAAAUUGGUAGGAACAGCAUAUGUAAUGUAGGAUGCCAGC